ACAAUAAGCAAAAUAAGGGCGUAUGGGGGAUGCCUAGGCUCUCAGAGGCGAAGAAGGACGUGAUAAGCUGCGAAAAGCUACGGGGAUGGCACACACGAAUAGAUCCGUAGAUAUCCCAAUGGGCAACCCACUAUGUAGAAGACAUAGUAUCCAAAUAGGAGCAAACCCGCUGAACUGAAACAUCUAAGUAGGCGGAGAGAAGAAAACAAAAGUGAUUCCGUAAGUAGUGGCGAGCGAACGCGGAAUAGCCCAAACCGUUGUUGUUACGGCAAUAACGGGGUUGUAGGACCACAAUAUUUCUUAAACAGAAUUAGAAUAACCUGGAAAGGUUAACCAAAGAAGUGAAAGUCCCGUAUAAGCAAAGAAUAUAAAGAAUAGUGGUAUCCUGAGUAGGGCGGGGCACGAGAAACCCUGUCUGAAUCUGGCGGGACCAUCCGCUAAGGCUAAAUACUCCUAGAGACCGAUAGUGAACCAGUACCGUGAGGAAAGGUGAAAAGAACCGUGAAUAACGGAGUGAAAAAAGAACCUGAAACCAUACGCCUACAAGCGGUCGGAGCAGCAUAAGCUGUGACGGCGUCCUUUUGCAUAAUGAGCCUACGAGUUACCGGUUACUGGCAAGGUUAAGUGAUUAAGUCACGAUCCGUAGCGAAGCGAGUCUGAAUAGGCGCUAUAGUCAGUAUGUAGACGCGAAACCGUGUGAUCUACCCAUGGCAGGAUGAAGCUGUGUAACACACAGUGGAGGUCCGAACCGGUUGACGUUGAAAAGUCUUCGGAUGACCUGGGUAGGGUGAAAGGCCAAUCAAACUCGGAAAUAGUCGUACUCCCCGAAAUCAUUUAGGUGCAGCGCUGUGGUCUAGUAUAUAGAGGUAGAGCUACUGAUUGGAUGCGGGGCUUCACCGCCUACCAAUUCCUGACAAAUCCGAAUGCUAUAUAAUAUACACAGCAGUGAGGCUUGGGUGCUAAGGUCCAAGUCCGAGAGGGAAAGAACCCAGACCAUCAGCUAAGGUCCCCAAAUGUAUGCUAAGUUGAACAAACGCGGUUUGAUGCAUCGACAGCUAGGAUGUUGGUUGGAAGCAGCCAUUCAUUUAAAGAGUGCGUAACAGCUCACUAGUCGAGCGAUCGAGCAUGGAUAUAAUCGGGCAUAAGCAUACUACCGAAGCUAUGGAUUGUACACUGUACAAGUGGUAGGGAGCAUUCUAACAUCGCCGAAGUGUCUUGAGAGAUGCUGGAGAAGUUAGAAAAGAAAAUGUAGGCAUAAGUAACGAUAAGGGGUGCGAGAAACACCCCCGCCGCAAAACUAAGGUUUUCCGCAGCUAUGCUAAUCAGCUGCGGGUUAGUCGGGUCCUAAGGCGAAUCCGAAAGGAACAGUCGAUGGCCAACGGGUUAAUAUUCCCGUACUACUUAUAAUUGUGAUGGAGCGACGCAGUGGUGAAAGUACCGCGAACUGACGGAAUAGUUCGUUAAAGCACCUAACUAUAGGCCCAGUAGGCAAUCCGCUGGACUGGUAAAUGCGAUAGAUCGGAGUCUUCGGACAAAGGGAUAGUGUACCUAAAGGCUGCCAAGAAAACCUCUAACAUAGAUUAUAAGUACCCGACCGUAAACCGACCACAGGUAGUGAGGAGAGUACCUAAGCGCUCGAGAGAUUCAUGGCUAAGGAAUUAGGCAAAAUAGACCUGUAACUUCGGGAGAAAGGUCGCCAGCGCAAGCUGGGCCGCAGUGAAAAGGUCCAGGCGACUGUUUAUCAAAACACAGGGCUCUGCAAAAUCGUAAGAUGACGUAUAGGCCUGACACCUGCCCGGUGCUGGAAGGUUAAGAGAGAUGUUAUGAGCAAUCAGAAGCAUUGAAUUGAAGCCCCAUAAACCGGCCGUAACUAUAACGGUCCUAAGGUAGCGAAAUUCCUUGUCGGGUAAGUUCCGACCUGCACGAAUGUGUAACAUCUGGGACACUGUCUCAGCCAUGAGCUCGGUGAAAUUGUAGUAUCGGUGAAGAUGCCGAUUACCCGCAGUGGGACGAAAAGACCCUGUGCACCUUUACUAUAGCUAGUAUUGGUCUUGGAUAAGUGAUGUGUAGGAUAGGUGGAGACUAUGAAAUGGCGUCGCCAGCGUUGUGGAGUCAUUGGUUGAAAUACCACCCUUUGCUUAUCUGAGAUCUAACCCGCCCCUGGCGGGGACAUUGCUUGGUGGGUAGUUUGACUGGGGUGGUCGCCUCCAAAAGAGUAACGGAGGCUUCUAAAGGUUCCCUCAGCACGCUGGUAACCGUGCGUAGAGUGCAAUGGCAAAGGGAGCUUGACUGAGAGACAUACAGGUCGAUCAGGUACGAAGUAGAGCAUAGUAUCCGGUGGUUCCGCAUGGAAGGGCCAUCGCUCAAAGGAUAAAAGGUACGCCGGGGAUAACAGGCUGAUCCCCCAAAGCUCAUAUCGACGGGGGGGUUUGGCACCUCGAUGUCGGCUCGUCACAUCCUGGGCUGGAGAAGGUCCCAAGGUUGGGCUGUUCGCCCAUUAAAGUGGCACGCGAGCUGGGUUCAGAACGUCGUGAGACAGUUCGGUCUCUAUCUACUGUGGGCGUUAGAAAUUUGAGUGGAUCUGACUCUAUACGAGAGACCGAGUUGGACCAACCGCUGGUGUAUCUGUUGUUCCGCCAGGAGCACCGCAGAGUAGCUACGUUGGGAAGGGAUAAGCGCUGAAAGCAUAUAAGCGCGAAACCCACCACAAGAUGAGAUUUCUUUUAAGGCGUGGAAGAUCACCACGUUGAUAGGCUAUAGAUGUAAAGGCAGUAAUGUCACAGUCAAGUAGUACUAAUAACCCGUAAGCUAUUG
rnacentral:rRNA from 1 species